GUGUCACUCAGUCAAAUGCCUGCCCUGGUGGGCACUGGCACUGCCCAGACCCCUUCAUGGAAGGACUUGAUGCCCUAGUUCUGGGAGGGCUGUCAGCCUUCAGGGUGUGAAUUCUAAGGGCACUCCAUAAACCUCCUCCUGCUCAACUCUCUCUGAGAGUCGACUCCCCAGGGAACCGGACCUGCGGCAGCCUGGCCCACAGUAGGCACAGGAAAGGUUCCUGAGACAGAGAAGCAUGGAAUGUGAAGCAAGAUAAAUAAUGCUAUUAUUGGCUAAGGCUUGGCUCUACCUCUCACCCCCACACAGUGAAUUCCAGUUCUGCAUGAGCAAGGCUCAACUCCAUGGACAAGUACUUUAUGACCCAGCACCAUGCAGGCCUCUUAGCCCACAAUGACUUCCAAGCUCAAGCCAGAGUCAGCUCUCAGGGAAAGACAAAGAAGGUGCAGAUGGCAGAGAACAUCAGCUCCAAGAAUCAUCUCAAAAGGCCCUUACCAUGUGCCCCGUGUGCUCAACCCAGUAACUCCAUCACUCAAACAGUACCCAACAGAAUGUCCUUAA